CGAGUAGGCGGUCGGCCAAGCGGAAUGUGAAAUCCCGGGGCUCAACCCCGGAACUGCAUUCCGAACUUGCUGACUAGAGGACAGGAGGGGGAAGUGGAACUCCAGGUGGAGCGGUGAAAUGCGUAGAUAUCUGGAGGAACACCGGUGGCGAAAGCGACUUCCUGGCCUGUCCCUGACGCUGAGGCGCGAAAGCGUGGGUAGCAAACAGGAUUAGAUACCCUGGUAGUCC
rnacentral:rRNA from 1 species